UUAGAGGCAGGUAUGUAGGUGAUGGAAGAUGAGGUCUUACCUAAAUAGGAUUUUAUUCUUUAAUCUUUGGAUUUCUGAAAUAGCAUGCAGAAUUCACGUGACAAAGAGAGAGAAUGCAGGACUGUACACUGUUGGGAGAAGAAUUAGAUUUAUUGGAAGUUACCUAAUUAAAAGUAUAAAGAAUUUAGGUUUUCUCCCUUGUGAUACAAUUAGGCAGUGGCUCUAUGAUUCAUAAAGCAGCUCAUUUUAGGGGAAACACUGUUUUCAAGGGAAUAUUUCUGUUGUGACCAGAAAGAUUUUGUGUUUCUUGGACUCGCUAGCCUUGAAAUGCCCUAGUUAUUGACCAAAGGAGAGAAUGUUUGCUUUCAUACUACAGACCCUUGUGGUCCUUCUCUGUAUUGAUUUCCCCCUUCUCUAGCCUAUGUUGAGCUUUGAAAUCAGUAAGAACACUAGUAUAUCAUGUAUUCACAGUCCGGAAUUCUUGCACUAAGGGGAUAUGUCUGCUGAAUAACUGUAGAAGAUAGUUUAUAAGUUGUUAGUUUUUAGUUAUGGGCUGAAUUAAGAGCCCCCCCUCCCAAUUCAUAUGUUAACCCUCCAGUUGUGACUGUAUCUCAAGACAGUCUUUAUGAGGUGAUUAAAGUUAACUGAGAUCACAGGAUGGGGCCCUAAUGUGACAGAAUUGGUGGCUUUAUAUGAAGAGGAAUCUCUCUCCACUCUCCUUCCCCCGGCCACCACGUGAGGACAAAGCAACAAGGCAGAAGGCAGCCAUCUGUAAGCCAAGAAGAGAACCUAGCUAGAACCUAACUAUGCUGACACUCUGAUCUUGGAUUCCUAGCCUCUAGGACAAAUAAAUGACUAUUUCUUAAGCCACAUGGGCUCUAUUUUAUUAUGGCAGCCUGAACUGACCAUACAGUAUUAAACAAAAUUACUUCUGACCUGCACUGUUUCCUCUUAUUUUCAUUUUCUUUGAUACAUAUUCCUUUGUCUAGCAAUAAGGUCUCCCUGUUGAGAGCAUGGACGAUGGUAUGAUAAUUUUGCCUGGUUUGGUUUUAUUCCAGACCGUCUUAUAAAGGCAAGAAGCUAUGUUUCAGUUGACCUCUAGAAUUUUAUUUGCAGAACAAUUUCCGGGUGGCAUAAGACCGUAUUCACUGGUGAAAUAUGGUUCUUGUUUCUGGCAAAAUUUGCAAAAUUGCUCCAGGUGCAGGGUGAGUUCUUUUGCCUAGGGAGAGGAGAAAUUUCACAGGUUUCAUUUUGUGAAACUUAAUUCAUGCCUCUAAAAAACUAUAAAAUAUGGAGACUAAAUAUAGUCUGUCAAGGGUAUGAAAUGUGAAUGAACAGCAGCAGAAACCAAAUUUGUAGAAGAGAAAAUGAUCUGAACCAGAAGCUUUGGGCUUAUUUAAAUUCUCCACGUUACAUUCCCAGACAUCUGCCUGAACAACAGAAUGAAAUUCCUGAUUAUGGAAAUGGGAGGACGCAAGUGUGGGGCCUGCUUGUCUCUGGGCUUUCAGGCAGGCGUUGUCGCAGGUUUAAUGGACCUUUUCUCUGGCCGUGGAUUGUCAGUCAAAGCACUGUCAGAGGAGUGACUUCUGAUGGGAAACUGCAGGAACCUUUGGGGAGGGGGAGGGUCAGAACUCCCUCAGAAGAGGAGCAGCCCUGGCUCUGCACGCUUUGCCCACCCACCCUCAGCUUUAACACCUUUCACUUCAUUGCUCACGAUGUGAUCGACCACAGGGUGACUGUUUACGUUUGGAUUCAGAUUGUUUCUGAAACGUAUAUCAGGUCAAUCGUGCACUAUUUGCAUCCUAGAAAAGAAAGCAGAGCAAAGCAAAGUGACAAGCCUUUAGCUCCCACCCAGGGAGGAGUUCCUGAUGGAGGGUUUUAGGUUAAGGUCAAUCUGGAUGGGGCAAAGGGUGAGCAUAUUUGCAGGUAUGAAACUUAGUCCAUCAAGGAAGCUCCCGUCGAACCACAAGGUUGAAAUACUCCUUUACACUGAGGUUGUAUUUAAUUUCAGGGCCUUAUUUAGUGCUGAAGAUAAUCCAAAGCGCUCAUAUAUGAUACAGGCGGUCCUCUAUCUUUAUUAGUGUUUAGGUUGAUCUUUCCCAUCUGAUUUUCAGUGGAGUCCACCAGGGACCUAUUCUGAAGUUGCUUGGGGUCCGGAUCUCCCUGGUUUCACCAUCGUGACCCUUUCAGGGGCACGAGUCAUGCUGCUGUGCCCAUGGAGCAUGGGCUGUGAAGCCUGGGGGCCCUCUGCAGCCCUUCAUUGCCUCCCUGCUGUGCCAAGGCACUCAGGAAUCACUCCCCUGCUCCCUGGGGCUGUGCAGGCUUGUGUGCCAAGGCACAUCAUCAGGAUAUCUGUGCUCAGAUGUCUUUCUGCUUUUCUGAUUAAAAGAUGGGCAUCAGUCCCCUCUGAAUUCAGAUCCCCCAGACCAACCUGAUAUGUCUUCUGACUCUGCCCCAUGUCUGGACUUCCAGUUCAUAAUUCCCCCUCCUAAUUCUCAACUCUGGUAACCCAGGAUAACUAUUCAUUAUUUGCUGCCCCUCUGACUCCCCUCCCCUGAAGCUCUGCCAACAACCAAUCUUGAUACCUGUGGAUUCUUUAAUCCUGAUCUUUCCAGAGUUUAGUCCUCUUUGUCAGUCAAAGACUUUCCUCUAUGCUUUGUAAGAGCACCCUUACACAGGCGCCGGCAGUAUAGAUGCCUCAUAAUUGAGCUAAUAAAUUAUCGUCUUGCUACAUCAUCCUGUCUUACGUUCAUUUUUUUCAAAUGAAUGAGGUGGAUGCCAUCUACCAAAGUAACUCCCAUCAGUUUUCCAAGUUCCCUCUAAAAGGCUACCCCAGGUUUGGAGAAAGAGCAGAAGUUCUGUUCCUUAGUACAGUACAGGACGACAUUCAGCGUGGUCGUCCUGAUCUGUCUCCCAUCCUCCCUCCCUCUCCACUGAUUUUCCCAAGUGCCCAUUAAGACCCAGGUCCCUCUCCUGCUGUGGCUCCUCUCCUCUUCUCACUGGUGGGUCAGUGGCCAGGGAAAUACCUUCUUUAUCCAGAGCCCUCGGGUAACAAUCCAUUUCGUAUAAACAUUAAUUUUCCGAGCUAUUGAAGCUUGCCUGUUUAGGUGAAAACUUUCAAAAGCUGUAAUGGCUUUGAGUAGAAAGUUUCUCAAAAUCCUUUGCAUUGUUUCCUAUCUUUGAAAACAUCAAUUCAAAUUCUUGUCUCUUUCCCUUGUGAUAUGUUAAAUCAUAUAUAUAGCAAGAGCAUAUGUUGAGUCAUAUAUAUAGAGAGAGAGAGCAUCCGUCUUACUUUAGAGACUCAGAUACAAAGAUGAAUACAGUACAGCUCUUGCCAUUUAAAGAGCUUGAGGGCAAAUUGGGACAAAGAUACAGAAGGCAAAUUGCUACAGUCCAGAGCAAAGGAGACUAUAUGAGGGCUGUAAACAGGGCAUGGAUGGGGCAUUGGUGGUACAGAGAAGUAGCAGCAACUCUGCCAAAAUGAGUGAUGAGGUGCCAGGAUAGGCUUCUCACAGGGCUGGUAAUCUGCUAUUAGGGAUUCUGCCCUCCCCAGAGAGUCCAGACUAGUCUGCAUUUUGAGUUCUCCUAUCUGACUGCUAUGGCAUUUCCGUUUUUCCUAUGGCAGCCAGACUGUCAGCUGUCACCCUUGCUCCUAGCAGACUCUUUCCCUCUUAAUUUGCAUUUCUAAUCAUCUGUGAGCUGGGAAGCCUUGUAACCAAGCCCCUUAGUACCAGCUCCCCCUUGGAGUAAAUAUGCUCUCAGCAAGCCUCUGGGGAGGCUCUAUUAAGAUAAUGGACAAGAAGUUGUUUGAUUGCUUAUUUUGAUUAGACUAUCUUGACCUUGAUUGCUUUGCUCUUUUUUCCUGGUUCUUAGUUGGCUUGUAGGUUUGGUAGAUAAGCAACCUCUAAAUAAAAUGAAUCAUUUUAGGGUUUUUAAUCUAAAGGAAUUAUUAAUACCUCUACUUAAUGGGCAUCUAUUAUAUGCCAGAUUCUUUAUCUUUAUUAUUUCAUUAACCCUCACAAUAGCACUUCAAUGUAAGUAAAAAUGAUCCCUAUUUUAUGAAAAAAAAAUAUUUUAUGAAAAAAAAAAAAAA
rnacentral:lncRNA from 1 species